AAGCGAGGGCUGUAACUGCAAUUGCCAACGUCACCUUGAACCCUGAAAGAUCAGAAGACGACGUGUCUACAGUAUCAGUCGCUGUACCUAUUGGAGUUCUUGCAGCCGUCAUCAUUUCUGCGGUCAUUGGCAUUGUACUGUACAAGAAAGGUUGUAAGAAGGAGAUAAAGACCGAGUCUGAUACCUUGACCCCACUGACACAGACCACUGAGAUGUAGAGCAGACAGUCAUCCUGUAUGCGAAGUGUGUGUCUGAGAGUUACAUCAAUCAUGAAAACGAAGGACUGCACAUGUGAGAUGACUGUUGGAUCCUAAAAUUUAGCUGUAUGUCUUCACAUAAUGUUUAGCUACAAAACAGUUUUGGGUUCUGACUGGUCACCGAAAGAUUUAAACCAACGCCUACAGAAGCAAAGUGGUUAAUAAAAUUAGCAGCACAUCGAAGACGAAGAUGGACGUAAAAAGAAAGUUUUCGAUCAACACCUCUCUAUGAAAAUUAAAUUAAAUUAUUAUCUUCAGUGUUGGUGAAAAUCAUGACCUUUUGGGACCUGUAUAAAAAUUCUGCAAAUAUGGGCCAAACGCUGUAAGAUUAUAUCACCAGGAAUCUAUUAACCUGCAUCAAUUGUUUAAAAUGUUCAUUUAAAUAUUAUGUAUUUUGCGUGCUUUCCUUACAUUAUGACACUUUGCUUUAAGAUUGGUUCACAUCCUUUUUUUAAGCGUCGUGACCAAACAUUCUGCACGUUUUGCAAUAUUAAUUUACGUGUGUACCUAUUUCACACAAAAAAUUUCUGGUUUAUAAAACAGACACUGAGUUGGAGAAUGCAUAUACAAAAGGAGGAGUAUAAUGAGCUCUUUCUCUUAAAUGUUACCAUUGACGUGGUGGGGCCCUUACCCUUGCUGCCCUUAUAAAGAGGCUUAUUCUGUUAUUAAUACACAACUGAGUUAAUGUAUUUUUUCUUAAAUUCUGCGUGGUUCACAAGGUAUCAAAUGCAGCACUUUUAUGCUAUUAAUCUUACUUUGAAAUUAUUUUGUACUUUCAUAAACUUUUAUUGAUUGAUAUAUAUAAAUAUGGCACGAAACUAAUGGAAUACACCGCAAUCUUUAAAACUUUGGUUUCAUUGCUUAUAAAUAUUUGUUUAUUGUUCUUGAUAUCGAGCUUGCACACUCAAUUUUCUCCUUUUGUUAUACUACCUAAGGACGUACCUAGUUUCAUUAGCUGCUAAAACCUAUACAUUUUCCCUGAGGUAUUAUACAUGAUGUAAGGUCCGGGAAAACAUAAAAUGUGUUCUAAAUCAGGCAAGAAAAGUGAACCACUGUCUAUAGAAGUAUUUUAACUAAGUGACAGUUGAGCAAUAGUUCUUCGUAACUAGUCAUGAAAAUUCGAAGAGAGGUUUUUCAAAUUGUUUUUCAAGUAUGAACAAGUUUCUUCUGUCAGGACAGAUUUUUCAUUUGAGCUCCUGAGUGUGAAUAUCUUCCCUGUGUAGCUUAUCCUAGAGAUGAAUGUGUUACUGUAUUUGUUUCCCUGACAUAUGUGUGUGCACGUGCAGAUCCCCCUUUUCUGGAAAUUUUUCAGAUUAAGAAGUACACAUGGAUGCUUGUGCCUAGUCUCUUACCCCUAACCCCACAUACAAGCACAUACAAGCAGACAUAUACAGAUAAGCAGACAUGCUACAGAAGGACAAAGCAAACGACAGACAUAUAAAGAUUAUACACACUAAAGCACGAAACACACACACACACACGCAUUCACAUAUUUUUGCACACUCCUGCAUGCAUGCAAUGCGAUACAUAUACUGCUAAAAUCCUUUCUGCAAGCUCCAAAGAUUUAGCAGAACUUUAGUUUCGGGCAUUAGUAAUCUUAUUAGUAAUCCUCUUGACAUGGUUGCGAGCUACAGAUGUCGAACAUAAUACCAACGACAGUACCACACGUCCUCCUGGCAUUAGAAAUUAAUUUUCGGUUUACUCCAUAAGGAAGCAUCUCUCUGGAACUAUAAACGACGCUGUUGUUUACGGUGUUGCUUUUACUAAGUAUGGAAGUUAAAACAACGUACACUAAAAAAAAAAAAAAAAAAAAAA